rnacentral:rRNA from 1 species
GACGAACGCUGGCGGCGUGCUUAACACAUGCAAGUCGAACGAUGAAGUUCCUUCGGGAAUGGAUUAGUGGCGAACGGGUGAGUAACACGUGAGCAAUCUGCCCUUGACUCUGGGAUAACUGCGGGAAACUGUAGCUAAUACCGGAUACGAGGCUCGAAGGCAUCUUCGGGUCUGGAAAGAAUUUCGGUCAAGGAUGAGCUCGCGGCCUAUCAGCUUGUUGGUGAGGUAAUGGCUCACCAAGGCGACGACGGGUAGACGGCCUGAGAGGGUAACCGGCCACACUGGGACUGGGCCACGGCCCAGACUCCUACGGGAGGCAGCAGUGGGGAAUAUUGCACAAUGGGCGAAAGGCUGAUGCAGCAACGCCGCGUGAGGGAUGAAGGCCUUCGGGUUGUAAACCUCUUUUAGCAGGGAAGAAGCGAAAGUGACGGUACCUGCAGAAAAAGCACCGGCUAACUACGUGCCAGCCGCCGCCGUAA